GCAGUCUGUCGGCGUCGGAGAACCACAGUCCGAGGCGACCGCAGCGGUGGUCACCCGAAGGCCUGUGGGCGCGGGGAAAAGAAAAACCCUCACCCAGUCAAUCGGCUGACAUUUCCCAGUCAGUCUGAGCUCCGCCCACUUCCGCUCGCCCGUCCUCCACCCCCCCUUCCAUCCCCGUCCCGCCCUGCGCCGCGGGGGGUUGUGGGUAUCUGGAGGGCUGGGCAAAAAGAAGGAGGGAAUCUAGUCGGACAGCGAGCCACGCCCAGAACUACAAUUCCCAGCAGGCGACGGGGCGUCAGAAGGCGGCUGCCGGAGAGCGGGAUGCAGAACUCCGCGCGCGCGGUGGUGAUGGAACGUUACUAGUUCGCGGGUCCGGCUGUGGGGCCCCGUGGGGGGAAUCUCUCUGCGCCGCACGCUGGAGCGGGAGGCUGGGAGCAGACAGAUCUUCAAUUAAUGCACGCAUUCAAAACCCUUGAAUCCGUGGACGCAAUGCACAGGAAGCACCUUCAGGAGAUUCCGGACCAGAGUAGCAACGUCACCACCAGCUUCACGUGGGGAUGGGAUUCCAGCAAGACUUCUGAACUGCUCUCCGGCAUGGGUGUCUCUGCCUUGGAGAAAGAGGAGGUGGACAGUGAGAACAUUCCACAUGAACUGCUCUCAAACCUCGGCCACCCUCAGAGCCCCCCAAGGAAACGGCUAAAGAGCAAAGGCAGCGAAAAAGACUUUGUGAUCAUCCGUCGGCCUAAGCUCAAUCAAGAGAACUUUCCAGGUGUUUCCUGGGACUCCCUUCCAGACGAGCUGCUUCUUGGAAUCUUUUCCUGCCUAUGCCUCCCUGAGCUGCUGAGAGUCUCUGGGGUCUGCAAGAGGUGGUACCGCCUCUCGCUCGAUGAGUCUCUCUGGCAAUCCCUCGACCUCGCAGGUAAAAAUCUACACCCGGAUGUGACUGUCCGCUUGCUUUCUCGAGGGGUGAUCGCCUUCCGCUGCCCACGGUCGUUUAUGGAACAACCAUUGGGUGAAAGUUUCAGCUCUUUUCGUGUGCAGCACAUGGACUUGUCGAACUCAGUCAUAAAUGUGUCAAACCUCCAUGGGAUUCUGUCUGAGUGCUCCAAGUUGCAGAAUCUAAGCCUGGAAGGCCUACAGCUUUCGGAUCCCAUUGUCAACACUCUGGCCCAGAAUGAAAACCUGGUACGGCUGAACCUCUGCGGGUGCUCUGGGUUUUCCGAAUCUGCCGUGGCAACGCUGCUGAGCAGCUGCUGCAGACUGGAUGAGCUAAAUCUCUCCUGGUGCUUCGAGUUCACUGAAAAGCAUGUGCAAGCGGCCGUGGCGCAUCUGCCGGCGACCAUCACCCAGCUCAACCUCAGCGGCUACCGAAAGAACCUCCAGAAAACAGAUCUUUGUACCUUAAUUAAACGGUGCCCCAACCUCGUCCGCCUCGACUUAAGUGACAGUAUCAUGCUAAAGAAUGACUGCUUUCCAGAAUUUUUUCAACUCAACUACCUCCAACACCUCUCGCUCAGCCGGUGCUAUGAUAUAAUUCCUGAGACCCUACUUGAACUUGGAGAGAUCCCCACACUAAAGACCCUACAAGUUUUUGGAAUUGUGCCAGAUGCUACCCUGCAACUAUUGAGAGAAGCCCUUCCCCAUCUGCAGAUUAAUUGUGCCUACUUCACCACCAUUGCAAGGCCAACCAUGGACAACAAAAAGAACCCGGAGAUUUGGGGCAUCAAGUGCCGACUGACCCUACAAAAGCCCGGUUGUGUAUGAAGGGCUUGCUGCGGGGCGAUGUGGCCUCUUCCUCUCAAGUGAGGAACGCAGGCAGCAAAUCCAGUUGCUGGAGACCUUGGUUACCUUUCCCAUUGGUUUUACUUUAGCGCUCACUGUGCAUGUAUGUUAGGGAACCAUUUGCAAGGGAGAACUAUGAAGUGUUGGCGGUUUCGAGAAUAUAGAGAUGAUUGCGCCAGUGCUGUGCCCUCAGAGUCCAAGUGCUAGUUCUUUGGAAAUCUUGGGACUUGAAAUACUUUUAAGUGGUCUUUCACAGCGAUGGCUGGACACUGCCCAGAAGGUUACUGGAUCUCAAGUUCCCUAGGUAGAGCUGCUGCUUUCUCUCCGUCAGAAACGCUCGAGAAGCAGGUGUGUGCGCAGCUUCCAUGCACCUGGCAUGACCUGCGCUUCACCUAAGUUUUUAAGACUCACUGGGCAUUAAACCUUUUGAUAACAGAUGUACUUUUUAACACCUGAUACGCAGAAGCAAAAGGAUCAAAGUAUGCUUCUUAGACAAUGAAAAGAAAAUUAAGGCAGUUACCUCUUUUGAAUACGAUAGAGCCAAAAUACGUUUCUAUUAACUUUUUCAUCAAAGAAUCGUACUGUUACAACAAUAUGAAGUGCCUUUAUCUGCUCAGACCUAAAGAACAUUUUAAAAAGUGUAACACAGGAAUAAUUUUGCAUCAAUUGCCGAGUAGUUAAAGUGCUAACUACUACUUGAAACUAUUGUUUACAGAUUAGUGAGGGCUGACAGUGGGCUCUGGCUGGACUCUGGCCUCCAGCUGCCCUCAGACAUGCAGGACCUCUUCUUCCUUAUUCAAGUCCAGCUGGGAGCUAUUUUGCCAACAUGUCGCAGUAAUCUGUAUUUUUGUAUGUGAU